rnacentral:rRNA from 1 species
GUAACGGCUUACCAAGGCGACGAUCAGUAGCCGACCGGAGAGGGUGAUCGGCCACAUUGGAACUGAGACACGGUCCAAACUCCUACGGCAGGCUGCAGUGGGGAAUAUUGCCCAAUGCGCGCAAGCCUGAUGCAGCAACCCCGCGGGCGUGAUCAAGGCCUUCGGGUCGUAAAACCCUGUCCUCAAGGAAGAUACUGACGGUCCUUGCGGAGGAAGCCCCGGCUAACUACGUGCCAGCAGCCGCGGGAAUACGUAGGGGGCUAGCGUUAUCCGGAUUUACUGGGCGUAAAGGGUGCGUAGGCGGUCUUUCAAGUCAGGAGUGAAAGGCUACGGCUCAACCGUAGUAAGCUCUUGAAACUGGGAGACUUGAGUGCAGGAGAGGAGAGUGGAAUUCCUAGUGUAGCGGUGAAAUGCGUAGAUAUUAGGAGGAACACCAGUUGCGAAGGCGGCUCUCUGGACUGUAACUGACGCUGAGGCACGAAAGCGUGGGGAGCAAACAGGAUUAGAUACCCUGGUAGUCCACGCUGUAAACGAUGAGUACUAGGUGUCGGGGGUUACCCCC